rnacentral:rRNA from 1 species
UACAGAGGGUGCGAGCGUUAAUCGGAAUUACUGGGCGUAAAGCGCGCGUAGGCGGCUUUGCAAGUCGGGUGUGAAAUCCCCAGGCUUAACCUGGGAACUGCAUUCGAGACUGCAUUGCUAGAGUAUGGGAGAGGGAAGUGGAAUUUCCGGUGUAGCGGUGAAAUGCGCAGAUAUCAGGAGGAACACCCGUAGCGAAGGCGGCACUCUGGGCCGAUACUGACACUGAGGAGCGAAAGCGUGGGGAGCGAACAGG